GACGAACGCUGGCGGCGUGCUUAACACAUGCAAGUCGAACGGAAAGGCCCUGCUUUUGUGGGGUGCUCGAGUGGCGAACGGGUGAGUAACACGUGAGUAACCUGCCCUUGACUUUGGGAUAACUUCAGGAAACUGGGGCUAAUACCGGAUAGGAGCUCCUGCUGCAUGGUGGGGGUUGGAAAGUUUCGGCGGUUGGGGAUGGACUCGCGGCUUAUCAGCUUGUUGGUGGGGUAGUGGCUUACCAAGGCUUUGACGGGUAGCCGGCCUGAGAGGGUGACCGGGCACAGUGGGGAUGGGAUGCGGCCCAGACUCCUACGGGAGGCAGCAGUGGGGAAUAAUGCACAAUGGGCGGAAGCCUGAUGCAGCAACGCCGCGUGCGGGAUGACGGCCUUCGGGUUGUAAACCGCUUUCGCCUGUGACGAAGCGUGAGUGACGGUAAUGGGGAAAGAAGCACCGGCUAACUACGU
rnacentral:rRNA from 1 species